rnacentral:rRNA from 1 species
GAUCAUGGCUCAGGAUGAACGCUAGCUACAGGCUUAACACAUGCAAGUCGAGGGGCAGCAUGGUCUUAGCUUGCUAAAACCGAUGGCGACCGGCGCACGGGUGAGUAACGCGUAUCCAACCUGCCUUACACUCUUGGACAGCCUUCUGAAAGGGAGAUUAAUACAAGAUGUUAUCAUGAGUAAGCAUUUUCGCAUGAUUAAAGGUUUACCGGUGUAAGAUGGGGAUGCGUUCCA